GCCAGGCGUGGUGGCGUACGCCUGUAGUCCCAGCUACUUGGGAGGCUGAGGCAGAAGAAUUGCUUGAACCCGGGAGGCAGAGGGUGCAGUGGGUCAAGAUUGAACCACUGCACUCCAGCCUGGGCAACAGAGCAAGAUCCUGUCUCAA
ensembl:misc_RNA Metazoa_SRP Metazoan signal recognition particle RNA